GCCGUUCUCCAAGAGUGUCUGUGGAGUGACUGGUCCCAGAGCAAGGACGGAGCCCAGAAUGAGGAGUCAGCAUUUCGGCAUUCUCAGGCAGAGACAGCCUUGCCCAGGCAAAGUAGUUAGUGGCUGGCAGUUCCAUCUCAUGAGACCACCUCGGAAGACCAUGGUCGGCCCAACACCCGUUGACCGUAUUACACCUUCUCAUCCACAAAGGACAAUAAAAACUCCUGGUCACGCCAGAGUACAGUUGGCGUCAACCUAACGCAGAUAGUCUUCCAGGGGCUGAUUAGGACAUCUGAGCUUCCGCACUAGCUUUGUUACCCAAGGACCCAGCUCGAGACGCCAAAGGAGAUGAUCAUUUCAGAGAGGAACUCAGAACUAGGUCGAUCCUACCCCAUAGCCUGGCCUCUCCCACUGGUCCAUAAACAACACCACUGCAAGGAGGAAUAUGUCCUGCUGGCCCUUGCACCCCACUCUGCAUGCUCUUGACUAUGUGGUGCCUGUGACCUGUGACCUUCGAGCAAAGACAAGAUUCUCAUGCUAUAAAAGAUGAGGAGAGAGAUUGACUCCAGUGUCCCCAAGGCUGGAUCCAGCAGCAGCAUGCUGUAUGCUGAUGUCUCUGCAGAAGAGAGAGCCAAGGUAAGGAAGGGAAGUUCCGUGCCCACAGCUCCGGCCCCAGGACCAGGGUGAAGGCAUUUGGCAUUUGGACCACACAAAGGCCACCAUCCUCCUCCCAGGAUUGAGUUUCUUGGCCUCUUUCUCUGAAAGUGCCAAGCAUUUUCAUAGUGAUUAGUUCAUUUCCCUUCUCACUUUACCAACAUCUGGGCACAGUCUCCCCGUGACCCAGGGGCUGCUUUGGGUGCACAGGAGGCAGAGAAGGCCAGGGUUGGCUUAAAGCCCAGGAUUCUCAAAUUGUUCUGUUUGGCCAGCUUUACUCAGAAGAAAACCAAAGCUAGGAAGUUUACCUAGGCCCACGGUAAGAGUCGGAAAGGAAGCAUCCAGGUAAGAAUCAGAAAGGAAGCAUCCAGGCCCAUGGAUUUGUCACCUGUGUCCUACAGCUGGGCUCACUCUCUUAAAACCUAAACCAAAGAACCUCAGCCGAAUCCUAGCAUGCAAAGAGGUGCUGGUGGCCAUGCAGUUUGAGUCAUUCUUCCAAGGGGGAGGUGUGCCCACUUGCUCAGCUUGACGGUGGCUGAAAUCAGGUAGGUGUCCUAUUCGCUUUCUGCUUAGCCUUCCUGUUAUUAUUAAGCUGGUUUGUGCCCUCUUAAUAGACCAUUUAGAACCGCUUUCCCAGGUCUGAAUCUCUACCAUGAGCAACAUGAAGGACCAUGAGAUUGAUAAUGCAGGCCAGACCCAAAGUUGUCCAUACACAUAAAACUGUAUCCCAAUGGAUAGAGUGCUCAUCUGGUAUAUACAAGGAUCUGGGUUUAAUUACCAGCACCGCAAUUAAUCCUUCAAUCUCUUCAAUAGUGUUUCUAAUCCAGGUAAUGAUACCUAUAAUCUCAGUAUUUGGGAGGUAGAAGGAGGAGGAUUGUGAAUCCAAAGCUAGCCUGGGCUGCUUAGAGAGACCCUAUCUCAACUUAAAAUUAAUUAAUUUAAACUUACCAUAUUCUUAUUAUAAAGAUAAUACAUGCUCCUUAUGGAGUCAGAGAAAAUAUUUAAGAGAAGAUGAACAUCAUUAGCCAGGCGGUG